rnacentral:lncRNA from 1 species
UUAGCAUCUUACGUAUAAUCUAUGUCGUUGUCCCUCCUCUUUGCCUUUCUUCCUUCUUUCCAUCGGCAAUAGUUCUCCGCUGAGUUGCCGCCAUCUCCCAUUCCCUCUGCUCCUCGGCCUCUCUCAUCCAUCCUACCAUCAAUACUGCUCUACAUCUUGCUUGACGCAAAAUGUUGCUCCGUUGGAGAUGCGAUUCAAGGUGCCAAUGUCACUCUAAUCUCAAUUUAUACAGGUGGUUUUCAUCACAGUUUUGGUCAACUGAGUUGAGAAAAUCUUGCAGGUUGGUUCUCAUCAAGUAGUAGGAACUUUGGUCUGAUCCAAUCUGUCAAAACUUACCAGACCUUCUAUCUGAUCCUAUCUGACCAGGAGAGGAAAACAUUCAAUAAGACUGCUCAACUGUCGUUAGUUUGUGGACGAUGGUAACGGCCGGCCUCGCGCCCUAUGAGCAAAGUCUGUAAGUUUUCAACCUUUGCUCCUCUGCUACGCCCGCUUCUCCUUCUUUUUUUUGCACGGAAAUCCUUCUAAGGUUUGAUUUGUGAGGAUCUGAUUUUGUUUCUUGUCCCCCUUUCCAAGGGUUGGUAAUUGUAUUCCUUUGGUUUAACAGGAAGUCACAUGGAUUCAUCGGUUGGGAGAAGAACGACAACAAGAUAUGCUACUCUGUUCUCUGAAUGGCGUUGGUCGUUGUGUUCUGCAAAUAGUGAUUUCCUGAUUCUGUUGUUAUGUUGUGAUAUACAUCUCGUGUAACAUGUGGUGAAGUCUUUUUCAAUAUGCUUUGGGCAUAGUCUUCUUCAGUGAGAAGCCACUCCAUGCAUGCGGAUAUAAGCUUUAGAACUGGAAUUAGAGGAGAGUACUUUUAGUCCAAUAGUUAGCAAAACCAUAUCUAGGUAUGUUUUACAUUCAAGCUACACGUUAGUUCUAUGUUGCUGCACCAAUGUACCGUUUUUAGGAUUGCUUUUGUCUAAUAUCAUUGUGUUGAUUCUUCUGGGCGAUGUUCUAUCUUCUCAUUUUACAAUGAAAACAUUUUACUUCUCAAGGCAACUCAUACAGACAUAAUUACAAAAACUGGUAGCAAAUAUUCCUAUUUCUAUUGCUAAAUAAAAUAGGAGUGAAAAUUAAACUUACACCUUCACCUCAUGUGCCUUUAUACAUCAUAACCAUAUAUUUUAUAAAAUCCUACCCUUAAUUGUCAAAAUUGACAGGCGCAGCAACGCGCGCUACCAUGGUCUAG